GACGAACGCUGGCGGCGUGCCUAAUACAUGCAAGUAGAACGCUGAAGGAGGAGCUUGCUUCUCCGGAUGAGUUGCGAACGGGUGAGUAACGCGUAGGUAACCUGCCUGGUAGCGGGGGAUAACUAUUGGAAACGAUAGCUAAUACCGCAUAACAGUAGAUGUUGCAUGACAUUUGCUUAAAAGGUGCAAUUGCAUCACUACCAGAUGGACCUGCGUUGUAUUAGCUAGUUGGUGAGGUAACGGCACACCAAGGCGACGAUACAUAGCCGACCUGAGAGGGGGAUCGGCCACACUGGAACUGAGACACGGCCCAGACUCCUACGGGAGGCAGCAGUAGGGAAUCUUCCGCAAUGGGCGGAAGCCUGACGGAGCAACGCCGCGUGAGUGAAGAAGGUUUUCGGAUCGUAAAACUCUGUUAUAAGGGAAGAACAUGUGUGGAAGUAAAAAGUCACAUCUUGACGGUAACUAAUCAGAAAGGGACGGCUAACUACGUG
rnacentral:rRNA from 1 species